rnacentral:rRNA from 1 species
GACGAACGCUGGCGGCGUGCUUAACACAUGCAAGUCGAGCGGUAAGGCCCUUUCGGGGGUACACGAGCGGCGAACGGGUGAGUAACACGUGGGUGACCUGCCCUCAGCUCUGGGAUAAGCCUGGGGAAACUGGGUCUAAUACUGGAUAUGACUCCACGGUGCAUGUCGUGGGGUGGAAAGCCUUGUGCGGCUGAGGAUGGGCCCGCGGCCUAUCAGCUUGUUGGUGGGGGAUGGCCUACCAAGGCGACGACGGGUAGCCGGCCUGAGAGGGCGACCGGCCACACUGGGACUGAGACACGGCCCAGACUCCUACGGGAGGCAGCAGUGGGGAAUCUUGCGCAAUGGGCGAAAGCCUGACGCAGCGACGCCGCGUGAGGGAUGACGGCCUGGUGU